GACGAACGCUGGCGGCGUGCUUAACACAUGCAAGUCGAACGGAAAGGCCCUGCUUUUGCGGGGUGCUCGAGUGGCGAACGGGUGAGUAACACGCGAGUAACCUGCCCUUGACUUUGGGAUAACUUCAGGAAACUGGGGCUCAUACCGGAUAGGAGCUCCUGCUGCAUGGUGGGGGUUGGAAAGUUUCGGCGGUUGGGGAUGGACUCGCGGCUUAUCAGCUUGUUGGUGAGGUAGUGGCUUACCAAGGCUUUGACGGGUAGCCGGCCUGAGAGGGUGACCGGCCACAUUGGGACUGAGAUACGGCCCAGACUCCUACGGGAGGCAGCAGUGGGAAAUAUUGCACAAUGGGCGGAAGCCUGAUGCAGCAACGCCGCGUGCGGGAUGACGGCCUUCGGGUUGUAAACCGCUUUCGCCUGUGACGAAGCGUGAGUGACGGUAAUGGGUAAAGAAGCACCGGCUAACUACGUG
rnacentral:rRNA from 1 species